GGGUGGGGAGAGGCGGUGCGCGCAUUGUCUGCACAUGCCCCAUCAAGGGCUCUUUAUCUCCUUCGCUUGUCCUACUCGGCACGGCAAGGCCUGUUCCCCCAGGCAUACUUGCAUUCAUGUACAGUACAUGUACAUGUACAUGUACCGUACAUACAUGUACAGGCACCAGUGCACGGUUAGGCGCUGGGGAUCGUUAAUCACUCCAACAAGUGCAAAAGCUCCACCCGACAGGGAAGGAUAUGCUUUGGUGCGCGGCAUGAAGACGAAAUAUAUCCCUGUUCCCUUGCGUUUGCGCAAUAAGUUUAUCGGUACAGAUUACAGGGUGACAGGAAACGAGAAAACCAAAAGAAACGAAGCCCUGGCUGGUGUGUCCCCCUCAGCCUCUGCAAAGAUUGCAUGCUCAAUGGGCGAUAGAAUACAUCACUGUGCACCACCCCGUACCCCCCCAAAAAAAAUUGUUAUUUUGGUGCUUGUGCUUGAAAAUGUACUUUUUAGUGACAGCCUGAGAGAACAAGUUUCGCCCUUUACUUCGCUUCGAAUGCAUUGACCCUACAGACAUAAUUAUUUCUGCGUUGAGUGUUAGUCCUCCAACCUGCUCUCCCCAGUAAGUGAUGCAGGGAAAUUAGAGCUCUUCCCCUCCCACCCAAUCACAGCACGAUCGCAUUCAAACUCCAUCUCUUGCAAGUUGCCUCCACAGAAACUUGCCCAGUGCAGAUUUAUGCCGUCGCGUUCCAUGCCUUGCUCGACAAAGUUCAUGAAACCCAAUAUCGCUUCUUCAGGAUCCCAAGACAAUAGAUUCCAAACUCGCCCUUGCGACAAGAUUUUCCCCCAUGUUUUGAAGACAAGGGGCUUCAUGACCGAACCACCAAACUGCAACUUAGCAAGACAAAAGACACUGGGCUUUCGCUGAGUUACCCCGCAAAAAAAAGGAAAAAAAAGAAAAAGAGGUAACCACCACAAACGAACGCCUCGCCGAACUCCCUCAGCAUUAAUCCCCGUCAAAGCCCACUAAGUAUACCCCUAGGAAACGCCUCAAAUGCUGAUCGAAACAAGAUUGGGUGCGACCUCCGUAGUUUUGCCCUGGUCCUUCCCGAAGUCAUGGAGCUUGUGAAUCGCUCGUCUGGCCCGAUCUUCCCGCUUUCACCCAUUUGCUUUGGUAUUUGGUUUUCGAUUUUUCAUCCAUUCUACCUGUCUUCUGAUUUUUGCGGCGAUGCUUUCUCCGUCCUGAGGCCUUGAGAACCUCCUCUCUGGAACUCGAGCAAAGCGCCUAUUGUUUGCUAUUCUUCCUCGCCUUUUUCAACUCCUUCCUUCACCUAACUUUUUGGUAAGUUAAAGAAACUAUGGUUAUCAACAACCAAAAGGAAAAGAAAAAAAAAAAAAAGCAACAAGCGCGCGGGGAUUUUUCCUUUUUCUUUCCCCCUCUCCUUGACUUCCACCUUUAAAACCGGGCUGGGGGUGUGUGGGUGCCUGGAACCAGCGAGCGAUGUGUACAUACCAAGCCCACUGAAGCCCCGUUUCCCUUCAACGGAUAAGAAGUGGGUUGGUUGGAUCGCCUGCCAUGGACCCCAUUGCUCCAGUCUUCCCUUGAGGUUCCUGAUUUGGCUAGCUGAGGUGAGCUUGGAUCCCGAGAUCUUGUGUAAAUUUGGAGAGAGUGGCAAAAGGGAGAGAUGGAAAAAUAAUUCCAAAAAAAAAAAAAAAAAAAAAAAAAAAAGAGGGUAACAUGGAGAAAGAAUGUUUUUGAUAUUCAUAUUCGUUCAGGCUGCGGCGCAACAGGUGCAAGUUCCCAGUUGCUCAUCGAGGUUUCGUUUCGUUCUCGAAUCUGGAUUUUUUUUUUUUUUUUUUUUUUAAAUUUCUAUUUUAAUAUAUUUCUAUCUAUACAUAUAUAUGCCUGAGAUAUUGGUGUAAGAGUUUCCCCUUCCCCAGUUCAUCCGAUCUCCGAUCUAUGGACGCAGUAUUGUACUGUACCUGUCUGUACGCUAGAGACCAUUUUUACACGCGGCCAUCACUACGAUCACACAAACUGGAGGUAGCACAAGGGGGAGCUUGGGGAGGAGACGGGGGCAAGGGGGAACUGGCCGGUCGCUGGCUAGCGUGCGAGCUCCUUUUUCUUUCUGCUCUUCCUAAUAAAAAUCUCGUUCAGUUUACCGUUCUUCGUUACUGCGGCGUUGGUGAUACUGGUUUAGCCAUGCAUCGCGCUGAGGAUUUUGACCAGGCCCGAUGGACGGGGGUUUGUUGGGCCCCGGAGAGUGCAGAGCGGGUAUGGUGGUUGGUAGCUGGUAGUCUUGAAGGGAUCCUACUUCCGCCUGCUCGGGUAGUUCCAGAGUACUAGUACAUAUGAGCCAGUGGCCCGUGGGGCAACGAACUAUCUGCGAAUCGCCCUUCUCUGUGUGUACACAAUGGUAGAGCAACAGGAAAAAGGGAGUAUAGGAGCGUGUCGCCUGUCACUACAUUCGAUUUAUGUAGGUACAGAGUGACAUGAGGAAGCAGAGCAGGGGAGGUUCGAUGGUGAUCCUGCAUGUGCAUGUACGCAAGGGAGAUAAACUAGUUAUCGUUACAGGUCCCCGAGGGGUUUGAGGAUCUCAUUCGAUGGGAUUUUUACUUCCUGAAGAAGUUGAAGAAGUUGAAGAAGUUGAAGAAGUUGAUGGCGGCGACUACUACCUUCUCCGUUUCCACGGAUCCUUUGCUGAGAUAGGAAUGGUCGUUGAUAUUUUGUCCUGCUCAAGAGAAGAGCGCAAAGGUAGCAAUCAAUCGUACAGUAGUUAAAGUAUUUAGCUAAACAACACAAAAUAACUAAGUUAAGUUCAAGGUCCCACC
rnacentral:sRNA from 1 species